rnacentral:snRNA from 1 species
GUGCUUGCUUCGGCAGCACAUAUACUAAAAUUGGAAUGAUACAGAGAAGAUUAGCAUGGCCCCUGUGCAAGGAUGACAUGCAAAUUCAUGAAGAGUUCCAUAUUUUU